rnacentral:rRNA from 1 species
GAGCACGUAGGUGGGUUUGUAAGUCAGAUGUGAAAGCCUUCUGUUCAACGGAAGAAUUGCAUCUGAAACUGCGAGUCUUGAGUGUAGGAGGGGAGAAUGGAACUUCUGGUGGAGCGGUGAAAUGCGUAGAUAUCAGAAGGAACUCCGGCGGCGAAAGCGACUCUCUGGCCUAUUACUGACACUCAGUGUGCGAAAGCUAGGGGAGCAAACGGGAUUAGAUACCCCGGUAGUCCUAGCCGUAAACGAUGGGCACUAAGUAGAGGGGUUUU